rnacentral:rRNA from 1 species
CAGCCGUAAACUAUGCGCGUUAGGUGUACUGGUGACCACGAGUCACCGGGGUGCCGAAGGGAAACCGUGAAACGUGCCGCCUGGGAAGUACGGUCGCAAGGCUGAAACUUAAAGGAAUUGGCGGGGGGAGCACCACAACGGGUGGAGCCUGCGGUUUAAUUGGACUCAACGCCGGAAAUCUCACCGGAUAGGACAGACAUAUGAUAGUCGGGCUGAAGACUCUACUUGAUGAUCUGAGAGGUGGUGCAUGGCGUCAGUGCU